CUGAUACGACAGGGGAGCGCCACCGGCGCUGAGAGUGCGGCACGACCGCAGACCCUCGCACCUGAUCCGGUUCGCACCGGCGUAGGGAGUCGGGAAUCUCGGACG
rnacentral:ncRNA from 2 species